rnacentral:rRNA from 1 species
UACAGAGGGGGCAAGCGUUGUUCGGAAUUACUGGGCGUAAAGGGCGCGUAGGCGGCCUUCUAAGUCAGACGUGAAAUCCCCCGGCUUAACCUGGGAACUGCGUCUGAUACUGGAGGGCUUGAGUAUGGGAGAGGGAUGUAGAAUUCCAGGUGUAGCGGUGAAAUGCGUAGAUAUUGGGAGGAACACCAGUGGCGAAGGCGGCUCACUGGACCGGAACUGACGCUGAGGCGCGAAAGCGUGGGGAGCAACAGG